GGCCGGGCUUCGCGGGCGGGCGGAGGGGCGGGGAGCCCGGUGGCCAGCGCUUGUAGGGCUGCAGCGCCGCGGACCUGGAGCCGAGCGGCCGCGCGCCAGGUGUCCAGUGCCCGGUGCCCCCCGUGCCCGGUGCCCGGCGAGCUGCCCCGAGGGACCCCGAGGCCGCCGCAGCUGGAUUCUGCAAGGCUGCGGCCCAGCUGUGUGCGAACAGCUGGAGGCCACGGGCCGCGCCGGGACAGAGAUGCGCACCUGGGGCAGCGGACACCGUGAGCUCAGGUCCUACCGGCCCGGGAACUGCGCGGACUGUCGCACCUCCUUCCCUUGAGUCGGGAAUCCGACUGGAGUCCAGACCCUAAGAUUGCGAUGAUUUCCCGGUGCAACAUCCCAAGCCCCUGGAAUUGAAGCCCCUGAAAUCGAAGGGGAUGUGCGAAGGCAGGGCCCUUUCCCCAGGGGGUUGCAGUCACCAGCUCCUGCAGCCUUGCUCAGUUGGGACAACACAACCUGCCGCUGUUAGGCACUUUGCAGGUUAUCCAAUAAGUAACUUGAGAUUUUAGCCUAUCUGCGGUUCCACUUUAUAACUCCUGCUCUGCUGUGGAUCUUGAUGUGGAGGAGAUGGAGGACUCAGAACCGAGGAUUUCCAAGUGAUUUCUUCCAAAGCAUGGAAACUAACUCUGUUAAGGCUGAUCUGUUCUAACUGAGGAGGUAAAGAAGAAUAGAUUUAAAUGUGAAAAUGAAGACAGGUCAUGGAGGGCUUCGCACCUCAUCCUUUAUUUAUGGAGUGCAUUCUGUAUGCAAAGCUCUGUGCUAGGAUCACAAAGUUCAAAGCAAGGUCCCCA